CCCUUAGAUGUUCUGGGCCGCACGCGCGCUACACUGAUGCAUUCAACGAGUUUCUUCCUGGUCCGAGGGGAAUGGGUAACCUUUUGAAAGUGCAUCGUGAUAGGGAUAGACUAUUGCAAUUAUUGAUCUUCAACGAGGAAUUCCUAGUAGACGUAGUUCAUCAGACUGCAUCGAUUACGUCCCUGCCCUUUGUACACACCGCCCGUCGCUCCUACCGAUUGAAUGCUCAGGUGAGCCAUUCGGACUUUCAUCAUGCUGGUUUCCAGUUUUGAUGAAGGAAAGUCUUGCGAACCUUAUCAUUUAGAGGAAGGAGAAGUCGUAACA
rnacentral:rRNA from 1 species